UUUUAAUCAUGCAAUUCUGCUCUCAUAGUCCUAGCUAGUUGAACAAGGGCUGACCUGACCCAGGAGAAGCCAUCUACAGAUUGCCCAGUGGUCCAUGAGGGAUCUGCAUAUAGAUUUCUGUCCAAUUAUAGUGCCAUAAGCUGGAAUGGUGUCUCAUCAACCCAAUGGGAUGCUCUUUCUCGGGACAAGGACUAAAACAAACAAACAAAUGAACAAGCAAAGAUACCAGCCCACAAGGGCAAACAAAUGGAGAAGAAACAGUAGACAAGAGAGAAAACACAAUUUUGGAAGUUGAAAAAUAAAUGGAGAAGUGACAACUGCUUUAGCAGAAGCUGAAACAUAAUUGCCUACAGAGUGGUAAGAAUAAGAAGCAAGGUAAAGAACUCUGCAGAUCUUCAAAAAAGCUGAGGACUUGCAGACCCCAAGUCGUCUGAAAAGUGCAUGGGGCUACUUCAGGGCAGACGGAUUAGCGACAGAAUGGAAGAGAGCAUUUAACCCUUUCUGACCAUCACACUUAGCCGAAACAAAAGCAUUGCACAGUUGAGAAAAAGAAAAUCCCAUGGCCCCCAGCUGACAGAACGGACCAUCAUCCUGGCCAAGAGGACCACAGAGAAACCAUGGAAACUGAGUUACUGGCCAUGAUGGGAUGCAAGAUCAGUUUCCCCCAAGUGACCAGCAUUCCUUUCGGAUAAGAGACUACUGAGCAUGCAGCGGUUCUGACCAGUAGAUGGAGGAUGUGCACUGAGUGCCUUCAUGUCCUCAGUCAUGAUGUCAGAGGGCUGAAAACUUCACCUUCAGUUCCAUGGGGAAGAUGAAGCAUAAUUGCAUAUAGGCAUGUUUCUCCUUUCACAAAUAUUCAUGACUCCUUCUAUAUAUUAAUAUGCAUACUCACCCACCCCAUUCAGCAUCAAUUCCUGUUCCCUUUGCGCCCCUCUCAAAGUGUUUUCAGUUUUUGCCUGGAGUUAAGCUUCCCAACCUGUCAGAAAGGCUACCUGCAGGCUGCAACCUUUUAUGAGAAA
rnacentral:lncRNA from 1 species